rnacentral:rRNA from 1 species
GACGAACGCUGGCGGCAUGCUUAACACAUGCAAGUCGAACGGAAAGGCCCUGCUUUUGUGGGGUGCUCGAGUGGCGAACGGGUGAGUAACACGUGAGUAACCUGCCCUUGACUUUGGGAUAACUUCAGGAAACUGGGGCUAAUACCGGAUAGGAGCUCCUGCUGCAUGGUGGGGGUUGGAAAGUUUCGGCGGUUGGGGAUGGACUCGCGGCUUAUCAGCUUGUUGGUGGGGUAGUGGCUUACCAAGGCUUUGACGGGUAGCCGGCCUGAGAGGGUGACCGGCCACAUUGGGACUGAGAUACGGCCCAGACUCCUACGGGAGGCAGCAGUGGGGAAUAUUGCACAAUGGGCGGAAGCCUGAUGCAGCAACGCCGCGUGCGGGAUGACGGCCCUCGGGUUGUAAACCGCUUUCGCCUGUGACGAAGCGUGAGUGACGGUAAUGGGUAAAGAAGCACCGGCUAACUACGUG